CCUACGGGGAGCUGCAGUGAGGAAUAUUGGUCAAUGGACGAGAGUCUGAACCAGCCAAGUAGCGUGAAGGAUGACUGCCCUAUGGGUUGUAAACUUCUUUUAUAUGGGAAUAAAACGUUCCACGUGUGGGAUUUUGUAUGUACCAUAUGAAUAAGGAUCGGCUAACUCCGUGCCAGCAGCCGCGGUAAUACGGAGGAUCCGAGCGUUGUCCGGAUUUAUUGGGUUUAAAGGGAGCGUAGGUGGAUUGUUAAGUCAGUUGUGAAAGUUUGCGGCUCAACCGUAAAAUUGCAGUUGAAACUGGCAGUCUUGAGUACAGUAGAGGUGGGCGGAAUUCGUGGUGUAGCGGUGAAAUGCUUAGAUAUCACGAAGAACUCCGAUUGCGAAGGCAGUUCACUGGACUGCAACUGACACUGAGGCUCGAAAGUGUGGGUAUCAAACAGGAUUAGAUACCCCUGUAGUC
rnacentral:rRNA from 1 species